rnacentral:lncRNA from 1 species
CCUUUUCCCUUUCUGCCCUCUGCCAUGUGAGGUCACAGUGUUCCUCCCUCCUGAGGAUGCAGUGUUCAUGAAAGCAAACACUGGGCCCUCACCAGGCAACAAACCUGCUGGUGCCUUCAUCUUGGACUUCCCAGCCUUCGGAACUAUGGAGCCCGCACUCUCCAGUUCAUCACCACCCCAGCAUCCCUACUCUUGCAUCUAACAGUUUCCGCUAUUUUGCACCACCUGCCUGGCCCUUAUGGGCAACUCAAGGAAGAAAGGAAAGAAGAGAUAGAGGAAAAAUGGAUUCAACAAAUGAAAGUGUUCUUUCUGACUACUGCUGUGUUUACAAACAUUUUAAUCAUCAAAACAUGCUUUAUUUGAUAGAAAGAUCAAAUCUGCCUUUGUAAAACAAGAGACUAUUUUAAUCAUUAAGACAACACACAUGUUUGAUUUGGAGGCGUGUUCUCAUUCAAAACCUUGCAAAAUAUAAUUUCUUCUUGUCUGGGAGAUGGUGUCUUUCUUCGGGGAGAACCUUGAGAGAAAUGUCUAUGAAUGUGUCUGUAGAUUGAGGAUAGGCCGUUAAGAAGCUCCACUGCGCUUUGUCCAUUGCAAGUUGAGAAGUGAGGCCCCAGCUGUCACAUACAGCUCCAUCACAAGAGGGAGCCCCAUUGCUAGUCCCCAUCCUCAAAGCCUCUGCGUGAUGUUGUCUACUGUUACUCUUCACUACCCUGUGGGAGCCAAAGCCCUGGACAUAAGAACAGAAGGCAAGCAGUGGUGGCUGAGAGGAAGAACUGACACCUUUGUGCUAUCAGAGCACUUUGCAGAGGAGCUGUUAGUGGCCCUGUAGGAGUCUGCUGGCCAUACAUCUGGGUGUCAAAUCAAGAGAGCAUGAGAAGUUGGACAGGAAAGGUCCAAGGCAAAAUGGUUACUAAAGGCCAUCCCUGAUCCUGACCCUAAAAGAAGAAAAGGCCCUUUGCUCUUGGCAUGCUUUUGCAGGAGUGUCUCAGUCUGUUUGGGCUGCUAUAACAUUGACUGGGUGAUCUGCCUGCCUGGCCUCCCAAAGUGCUGGGGUUACAGGUGUGAGCCGCUGCACCAGGCCUUGAGGUCAGGAGUUCGAGACCAGCCUGGCCAACAUGGUGAAACCUGUCUUUACUAAAAAUACAGAAAUUAGCCAGGCAUGGAGGCGCAUGCCUGUAAUCCCAGCUACUGGGGAGGCUGAGGCAGGAGAAUCGCUUGAACCCAGAAGGUGGAGGUUGCGGUGAGCCCAGAUAGUGCCAUUGCACUCUAGCCUGGCCAACAAGAGUGAAACUCUGUCUCAAAAAAUAAAUAAACAAACAAACAAACAACAAC